rnacentral:lncRNA from 1 species
GGGACUUCAAGAACCUUUUCCAGGAUGAGAGCAGGGGAUGAGAGUUCAUGCUUUCAUGGAGGCACUGUCAUGGAUGCCAACGUCCAGACGGAUUCGUGCACUACAGGAUGAGUGUUGCUUUCCAGUCCACACUUCAAACCCGAGAGUAUUUAGAAGCAUGGGAAAUACAGACCUAAAAUGAAGAUUCUGCACUCGUGCAAAUCUAUUCUCAAAAAGAGCACGUGUCUUUGAGCCUGUCUGUGUUGCCGGUUGACUGUGACAGUUCCCUGAAUCUUUCUGUGGAACGCAAGGCUCAUCGAAGGACAACAAAUAUCUUGAUGCUCUCAUAUACAAUAUUAUUAUUAAAACGCAAAAGCAGCUGUAUCAGUUUGCAAUAAUAUCAGCUUUGUACUUUGUAAAUAAAGUUGUGAAGAAUGACCGAUGCGUGGUGAUAACUACAAAC